rnacentral:rRNA from 1 species
UUAAGUUAUUAAGGGCGCACGGUGGAUGCCUUGGCACUAGAAGCCGAUGAAGGACGUUACUAACGACGAUAUGCUUUGGGGAGCUGUAAGUAAGCUUUGAUCCAGAGAUUUCCGAAUGGGGAAACCCAGCAUGAGUUAUGUCAUGUUAUCGAUAUGUGAAUACAUAGCAUAUCAGAAGGCACACCCGGAGAACUGAAACAUCUUAGUACCCGGAGGAAGAGAAAGAAAAUUCGAUUCCCUUAGUAGCGGCGAGCGAAACGGGAAGAGCCCAAACCAACAAGCUUGCUUGUUGGGGUUGUAGGACACUCUGUACGGAGUUACAAAGGACGACAUUAGACGAAUCAUCUGGAAAGAUGAAUCAAAGAAGGUAAUAAUCCUGUAGUCGAAAAUGUUGUCUCUCUUGAGUGGAUCCUGAGUACGACGGAGCACGUGAAAUUCCGUCGGAAUCUGGGAGGACCAUCUCCUAAGGCUAAAUACUCUCUAGUGACCGAUAGUGAACCAGUACCGUGAGGGAAAGGUGAAAAGCACCCCGGAAGGGGAGUGAAAUAGAACCUGAAACCGUGUGCUUACAAGUAGUCAGAGCCCGUUAAUGGGUGAUGGCGUGCCUUUUGUAGAAUGAACCGGCGAGUUACGAUUUGAUGCAAGGUUAAGCAGUAAAUGUGGAGCCGUAGCGAAAGCGAGUCUGAAUAGGGCGUUUAGUAUUUGGUCGUAGACCCGAAACCAGGUGAUCUACCCUUGGUCAGGUUGAAGUUCAGGUAACACUGAAUGGAGGACCGAACCGACUUACGUUGAAAAGUGAGCGGAUGAACUGAGGGUAGCGGAGAAAUUCCAAUCGAACCUGGAGAUAGCUGGUUCUCUCCGAAAUAGCUUUAGGGCUAGCCUCAAGUGAUGAUUAUUGGAGGUAGAGCACUGUUUGGACGAGGGGCCCCUCUCGGGUUACCGAAUUCAGACAAACUCCGAAUGCCAAUUAAUUUAACUUGGGAGUCAGAACAUGGGUGAUAAGGUCCGUGUUCGAAAGGGAAACAGCCCAGACCACCAGCUAAGGUCCCAAAAUAUAUGUUAAGUGGAAAAGGAUGUGGCGUUGCCCAGACAACUAGGAUGUUGGCUUAGAAGCAGCCAUCAUUUAAAGAGUGCGUAAUAGCUCACUAGUCGAGUGACACUGCGCCGAAAAUGUACCGGGGCUAAACAUAUUACCGAAGCUGUGGAUUGUCCUUUGGACAAUGGUAGGAGAGCGUUCUAAGGGCGUUGAAGCAUGAUCGUAAGGACAUGUGGAGCGCUUAGAAGUGAGAAUGCCGGUGUGAGUAGCGAAAGACGGGUGAGAAUCCCGUCCACCGAUUGACUAAGGUUUCCAGAGGAAGGCUCGUCCGCUCUGGGUUAGUCGGGUCCUAAGCUGAGGCCGACAGGCGUAGGCGAUGGAUAACAGGUUGAUAUUCCUGUACCACCUAUAAUCGUUUUAAUCGAUGGGGGGACGCAGUAGGAUAGGCGAAGCGUGCGAUUGGAUUGCACGUCUAAGCAGUAAGGCUGAGUAUUAGGCAAAUCCGGUACUCGUUAAGGCUGAGCUGUGAUGGGGAGAAGACAUUGUGUCUUCGAGUCGUUGAUUUCACACUGCCGAGAAAAGCCUCUAGAUAGAAAAUAGGUGCCCGUACCGCAAACCGACACAGGUAGUCAAGAUGAGAAUUCUAAGGUGAGCGAGCGAACUCUCGUUAAGGAACUCGGCAAAAUGACCCCGUAACUUCGGGAGAAGGGGUGCUCUUUAGGGUUAACGCCCAGAAGAGCCGCAGUGAAUAGGCCCAAGCGACUGUUUAUCAAAAACACAGGUCUCUGCUAAACCGUAAGGCGAUGUAUAGGGGCUGACGCCUGCCCGGUGCUGGAAGGUUAAGAGGAGUGGUUAGCUUCUGCGAAGCUACGAAUCGAAGCCCCAGUAAACGGCGGCCGUAACUAUAACGGUCCUAAGGUAGCGAAAUUCCUUGUCGGGUAAGUUCCGACCCGCACGAAAGGCGUAACGAUUUGGGCACUGUCUCAACGAGAGACUCGGUGAAAUCAUAGUACCUGUGAAGAUGCAGGUUACCCGCGACAGGACGGAAAGACCCCGUGGAGCUUUACUGUAGCCUGAUAUUGAAAUUCGGCACAGCUUGUACAGGAUAGGUAGGAGCCUUUGAAACGUGAGCGCUAGCUUACGUGGAGGCGCUGGUGGGAUACUACCCUAGCUGUGUUGGCUUUCUAACCCGCACCACUUAUCGUGGUGGGAGACAGUGUCAGGCGGGCAGUUUGACUGGGGCGGUCGCCUCCUAAAAGGUAACGGAGGCGCUCAAAGGUUCCCUCAGAAUGGUUGGAAAUCAUUCAUAGAGUGUAAAGGCAUAAGGGAGCUUGACUGCGAGACCUACAAGUCGAGCAGGGUCGAAAGACGGACUUAGUGAUCCGGUGGUUCCGCAUGGAAGGGCCAUCGCUCAACGGAUAAAAGCUACCCCGGGGAUAACAGGCUUAUCUCCCCCAAGAGUUCACAUCGACGGGGAGGUUUGGCACCUCGAUGUCGGCUCAUCGCAUCCUGGGGCUGUAGUCGGUCCCAAGGGUUGGGCUGUUCGCCCAUUAAAGCGGUACGCGAGCUGGGUUCAGAACGUCGUGAGACAGUUCGGUCCCUAUCCGUCGUGGGCGUAGGAAAUUUGAGAGGAGCUGUCCUUAGUACGAGAGGACCGGGAUGGACAUACCUCUGGUGUACCAGUUGUCGUGCCAACGGCAUAGCUGGGUAGCUAUGUGUGGACGGGAUAAGUGCUGAAAGCAUCUAAGCAUGAAGCCCCCCUCAAGAUGAGAUUUCCCAACUUCGGUUAUAAGAUCCCUCAAAGAUGAUGAGGUUAAUAGGUUCGAGGUGGAAGCAUGGUGACAUGUGGAGCUGACGAAUACUAAUCGAUCGAAGACUUAAUCAA